GCCGGGUAUGGUGGCACAUGCCUAUGGUCCCAGCUACUUGGGAGGCUGAGGUAGGAGGAUGGCUUGAGCCUGGGACGUUGGGACUGCAGUGAGCUGAGAUCCUGCCACUGCACUCCAGCCCGGGCAAUAGAGUGAGACUCUGUCUCAA
rnacentral:sRNA from 1 species